rnacentral:lncRNA from 10 species
CAGAAGAUUGCAGGUUCGAGUCCUGCCGCGGUCGAAGGGAGGUUAUGAUUAACUUUUAGUUUAUUCCUCCCUCAGGAACGAAGUAUUGGGACAAUGUGAACGUAGUCGCCGCCGAUUCCCACCGCACUUCAAAGAUGUGGGAACGCCAAGAUCCGCGGAAGUAACCACGCCCAGCAAGUCCCUGCGAGAUUGCCCGCCUACGUGUCUCAGCGGAGGCACAUUUCUAAAAUGUACCAGGUCUCUCGCACCCCGACGCAGGUGGAGGAAAGUGGAGAGGGAGGGGCAUCCUGUACAGAAAUCUCAAUUUAUACUCAAUUGAUGGUUGGCAAGAGUUGGGGCUCGCAGCCAAAGCGAGGCUCCCUCCCUCGCCCAUCCGGUGCUGCCUCCUCGUCCAGAGCAAUUCUGAGGGGUAAAAAUGUUGCCUUCCGUUGAACCUGAAUUUGCCCGCAGAUGCUAGCCUCCGGCCCACAGCGCGGCUGGAGCUUGUCCCCUUCCCCAGCUGUUUCCAGUCUCCGCAUCCGUCUUGUGUUGCUCCAGGUGCUUCAACAGCUCUCAGCGCUCGGUGGUUGGUGAACUGUGGUAAAGUGCACGCAGAAUAAGGUCUACGUGAUUAAGCACCGCCUGGGGGUUGGGGUCUGGAGGCCCAGCUGCACAGAUGAAAGGGAGGCUCAGAGACGUUUGGGACCAACCGAGAUCACACAGCUGAUUAGGAAUAAAAUUCAGGUCAAGCUGAAAGUCGGCCGCCACCGUCCAGCGUGGAUCCCAGGACACCGUGAACGGACUACAGAAGUUGACUUUCGCGUUUUUAAGGAGUGGGGUGCAGGGAAACAAUCCUCCGCCGGCCCUGCGGGCUGAUGCCGACCCUCACCUGCUCCCGCCACGUGGAGAGGUAGAGAGAAGCCCCGGGCCAAGCAGCAUUGAGCCCUGGUCCCUUCUAUUUAAAUAUGAAAUAUUUUGCAUACACUUUUCUAGAUGUACUUAAUAUACACAAUGUUUUAAUGUUUGUGAUUUUUUUGUUUUGCCAAAAAAAUACAAUCAAUCAGAAAUUCAUCUGUUUUUUUUUUUUUUUUCACAUAACUGUUGACUUUUACAAAAUACUGGAAGGAGAGGCUCUCAGCUUAAAUCAGGGAGUCCCUGAAUGGGGAAAACAUUUUCAUCUUGUUUCUUCUAACCGCCUACUGAUACUUGGCAUUUCCUCCAAUUAUGAGCAUAGGCUGUCAGCCACAGUGGUAUUAACAGUGCCUGUGACUUUGUCCCCUCCAGCAACCACAGAUAUUUUCAUAACGCAUUACAAGUGCUGCACAUUUUUCAAAAUUUGUUUGCACUUAUCUGUACUUCAAAAUAACAGGGGUUACUAGACUGCCACUAGAUCCUGUUAGUUAAUAAGUUUACCUAUUUGUCCUAAUAUUUGAAUACCUUUGGUGUCCUUUGUAAUCCUUCAUGUUUUAUGUGCUUAAAAACACUAUUCUUCCAUAUAACCAAAAACUGCCUGUACCCCUAUUGAAAUAAAAAUUAAUAAAACAUAUUUCACAGAAAAAAAUUAAAAACAGAAACACUACUCUAGGCCAGGUUCAGUGGCUCACGCCUGUAAUCCCAGCACUUUGGGAGGCUGAGGUGGAUGGAUUGCCUGAGCUCAGGAGUUGAAGACCAGUCUGGCCAACAUGGCGAAACCCCAUCUCUACCAAAAAAAUACAAAACUUAGCCCGGCAUGGUGGUGCACGCCUGUAAUCCCAGCUACUUGGGAGGUUGAGGGAGGAGAACCUCUUGAACCCGGGGGGCAGAGUCUGCAGUGAGCCGAGAUUGCACCAUGGCACUCCAGUCUGGGCAGCAGAGUGAGACUCCAUCUCCCCACUCCCCACCAAAACAACAACAACAACAAAAAAAAGAAAAAAAAGAAAGAAAGAAACACACUAUUCUAAGAAGGUGUCUAUGACACAAAAAAGCUAAGAACCCCUGGCCCAACUGUCCACAGGGGCUGCUGUUGCUGGGCCUGAUUGGCCUCUCCUGAGAUUCAGUCUCAGGAGAUGUCCAUCAAGAUGCCUGCUCCUCCCAUAGACUACUUGAGACUAGCCUAGUGCCCUGGUCCUGGAAUUAGAAUCUUCAACAAGGACAAAAACGGUUGAUACUGAUUCCUGCUGAGGGAGGGUACCUGGAGGCCUGCACCCUUCCUGCCAGGCUACACCCUGUUUCCAGGCCUUUCUGAACCCAGCUCCUCCACUUCCCCUGCCUCCUUUUCUAGGAACUCCCCCACGUCCUUCUAGAAAAGUCUGUCCUUGAUAGUGGUUCCUGAGAAACAGUUACAUUUUCCCACAAUUCCCUGGACCUCUCCCCCCACAGAGCAAGAGGCAAAGUUCAUUAGGACCCCUGUCCUCAUCAAAACACUCCGUACUUUUUUUCUUCUUCUUCUUCUGAGACAGAGUCUUGCUCUGUGCCCAGGCUGGAGUGCAGAGGCGUGAUCUCAGCUCACUGCAGCCUCCACCUCCCAGGUUCAAGCGAUUCUCGUGCCUCAGCCUCCGGAGUAGCUGGGAUUACAGGUGUGUGCCACCAUGUGGAUCUAAUUUUUGUAUUUUUAGUAGAGACUGGUUUCACCAUGUUGGCCAGGCUGGUCUGGAACUCCUGGCCUCAAGUGAUCCACCCGCCUUGGCCUCCCAGAGUUCUGGGAUUACAGGCUUGAGUCACUGCGCUGGGCCAGAACACCCUGUACUUUCAAAGCAUGUACCUCAGUUGUAACUAAUGAUGAUUUUUUAAAAAUCUCCCCCUUCCACUGCUGUAAAUGCCCAUAGGGACUGACCUUGUGUCUUAUUUUGAGCUCAAUUCCAGGACCUGCCUGGAGCUUGGUAAUAACCGGCACUUGCUAGCUGCCAGGUGCUGUUCUAAGGGCUCACAUAUGUCACUUAAGUGAAUCCUCACAUCGACCCUUGGAUAGAGGUACCGUUAUCCCCUUUCACCCAUGAGGAAACUAAGGCACAGAGAGGCGAAGCAGCUUGCCUAAAGCCCUAUAGCUGGUCAUUGGUAGAGCUGGGAUUUGAAUUCAUGGAAACCAGGAUCUCAGCAACUGCACUACACGGCAAAUACUGGCUUUAUGAUGCUAGCAGAGGAUCCCUACUGCACAACUGUGUGCCAGGCGCUGCACGUGCACACUGAUGUGGCCUCCUACAUCACUGCUGCUGACUAAGUAAGGGGCCCUCAGGUGACAGCCUGCUCCUCCAGAGUCCCUCUCGUGUGCUUACUUCCUGGUGACUUUCAUGGUCUUCUCUCAGGUUUGCCAAGCCCAACUCCAGCAAUUUCUGCCACAGACAGAAAAUAUCACCACUCUUCCUUUAUCAACAGCUACCACUUGCAAAUGAACCAGGCUGAACGCUUUAGAGCACCAUUUUAUUUAAUCAUUUCAAUGACCC